CUGGGUGUGUACAGGUAGGUUGA
rnacentral:piRNA from 1 species